rnacentral:rRNA from 1 species
AACGAACGCUGGCGGCAUGCCUAACACAUGCAAGUCGAACGAGACCUUCGGGUCUAGUGGCGCACGGGUGCGUAACACGUGGGAAUUUGCCUCGGGGUAUGGAAUAACUCAGGGAAACUUGAGCUAAUACCAUAUAAUGUCUUCGGACCAAAGAUUUAUCGCCCUGAGAUAAGCCCGCGUAGGAUUAGCUAGUUGGUGGGGUAAAGGCUCACCAAGGCGACGACCCUUAGCUGGUCUGAGAGGAUGAUCAGCCACACUGGGACUGAGACACGGCCCAGACUCCUACGGGAGGCAGCAGUGGGGAAUAUUGGACAAUGGGCGAAAGCCUGAUCCAGCAAUGCCGCGUGAGUGAUGAAGGCCUCGG